CAGAGAGCAACGGCCACAGGAAAGUCUCUGGGGUUGAGGGACUCGGGGGCACAAGGUUUGACCACAUAGUCAGCCCGGCCAGGCCCCAUCUGUCCUACAGUGCCCACAAAUGCCCUCACGGGGCAACCAAGAUCCUCCUGUGUCUGUAGACCCAAGAACCACAUGGCCAAGGAAGCCGAGCCGGGUUGCCACGUCCACUCCAAAACCACUUGACUACUUAAACUUCAUGAGGAAGGUGGUAGCUGCCUUGUUCUAACCACAAUCAGUAAAGCAUCCCCUUGGCUCCCAGCGUAGCCUGCACCCCACAGACUGCACAAUGUCCAGAUACCACCGCAGCCCUCUUGAAGAGGAUCUUGUCCUGUUGAUUCUAAAGAAGUAUGGUACAACUCCUGUCAAGAGUCCUAUUGCCAGAAUUUCUUCUUGUGUUCUUUUUUUCUUCCUGUUGAACCACAAAGUCAUUGGAGAAUAGAAAAAGCUUUUCAUUUAGAGGA